UAGGGUUAGGUGUGUUCGGAUCCCAUUAGCCUCCCCACGCGUCCGGCGACUACGCAGUUGAAUGGAGACUAAAGGUGUGCACGGGCCGACGC